rnacentral:sRNA from 1 species
UUUAUACUUUCGUGGUCGCCCUCACUGAACCGACUUGAAUCUGAACUACGAUUUUGUUCCCCAACUUGCUUGAUUAACGGGCAUUUUCGGGGACUAGCCCGCUUCUUCAUUAAAAAAGAGGGCGAUUGCCCGGUCCUUGGAAUCAUUUUAGAUCGUAUCCCCAAGCCUGCCUCCACUUUCUUAUGUGAAAGAGGUGCUUGCUUUAUGAGACUGAAUGGAAACCUUCUUUCUUCGAUCAGAAUACGAAUAAGAUCAAAAAGGCCAUCAUUGGGGCAAACAAUGCAAUAGCUUCGGUUAGUAAAGGAAUUCCAUCCACUCCGGCUUAGCUUUCAACCGGUCUUUUUAGGUUACGAACGCCUAGUCGACAUAAUGUCUGGCGUUUACCUGAUGGUUCCCCAAGCCCCUGAGCUCAUCAAUGAACGGAUUCCACCUUUCACAGCGAGCUGUUCCGAAGUUGCGCCUGAGCACAGUGAAAUGCCUCUUACGGUCAUCUAUAGCGUGCUCCCAGUCGUCAUGUAGAGCCAACUGGAGAGCACGCUUGACAUCCUCUGGAUCCUCUAGAGUUAUCCCUCGUUGAUGCAGGAGAAUUUGGGCUUUCCGUACCAUGGCCGCCUCCAAAUUCUCGCAGGCGCUCGUGAUAGUCUCUACCUCGGCAGAGAUGCGGUCGUGCUCUUGUGCCCGAGCCUCCCUUUCCCAAGCCUGCUCCUCAGGAAUCGGUUGAUUGACCGACGAGGAGGUACGCCCGGAACUGGCCGAAUCUUCGACCAUAUCGGAUGUAUACGUGAACCAUUCUGAGGAGGAAGAUGCCCCGCCAGGUCCUACGCCAUACCAUAGAAGGGGUUCUAACAGGAGCAAAGCCUGACCACCCAGUAGAUAGACGACUUUGAUCCGGAUCAAAGAUAGCACGAACCCCACUAAGAAGAGAUAGAGAAUCCUCUUCAGCGGUCCUUUCUUACGAAAUCCAAAUAUAAAUACCACUAGCGCACAGAAUGAAACGCACGUAGUGAUCAUUAUAGCGCUUCCUUCUGAUCCUAGAAAACGUCCGAAAAAACCUGCUACGGAACCACCGAGGAGAGGCAAAAAUAGUCGAAGCAUAUCAAUAUUAAUCAUUUUAUAUUUUUUCAUUUUCUUUAAGCUGUUGCACUAAGGUUACUUAAGAAGAUUCCCAGAAUAUUGACUCAUUUACUCUCAGGUGCACUUAAAUAAUUUACGGCGAGCUCUUCCGAGGAAUGCUUACAAUAGAAGUGGUUGUGGAUUCGAACCACUGACAGACGGAUUUUCAGUCCUUCACUCGACCAGAGCUAUUACCUGUCACCACUUUCUUUUCAACUCGUAAAGGUAAAGAAAGGAUCCGCCUCAACUAACUGAUCUAUCAACUUGAUUUCUUCUCUUAUGAGAUUCUUUUUUAGUGAUAGUUAGAGGUCCGAAAAACGAGAGGGAAGAACUCGACUAUUUCUCUGAUUUCCAGCAACAGCUCUUUCUAUCUUUCUGGCUGUUCUACCUACCCAUCUCUUUCCUGGUUACUCGAUAGAUCUUCCCCUGGGAUGGAUCCUGGGCUACUUAAGAUCGGAUCAACUUCCCAUUUGCUUACUAGCACACCCCGGCAUCCUCCCAACUGCGCGCACCUGUUUCCGGCCCUGCCAAGAGAGAUCUUCUUCCUUUGUGCUGCACUGAACACUCUCCGAAUCAUCUUGGCACUCAUCAAACUAUGCUUUUUUUCCUUGCACUAAACACUUUGUUAAUCGUCUGAGCAGCAAACGUACAACUAUCUCUUUGUCCGUCUGUGAACAAGUAGUAUGAGCCAGUUAAGUGAGCGAAGCAACCCUGAGCUCCUCAGCACACUCCUGCUUUCUCCUCAACAUCAACAUUCAAAUGUUGUAACACUUGACUAUAUUUUAAAACCAGAAACACAAUCGAUUCAAAACGAUUAAUCAAUCAAUGAAAAAAGACGAGAAGGGUUGAUCAAUUGUCGGGUUUGGGACUCAUUGAUUCUCCGCUUCAUACGAGGGGAAUCACACUUCAAAUCAAUCAAAUCAACCAAUCCUAUCAAUACAUG